CCCGGCUGCGCGGCCGGUUCAGCUCCAAAGCCAGGGUGGUGGGAGGCGAGGGUGGCUGGAAGCGGAGGAGCGCAGGCUGUGUAGGAGUUCCCCGAGCACUGGGAAGGGCCCGGAGAGGAAAGAGGUCCUUCCAAGCGGAGGAAACAACGUGACCGACGGAAGAGGCAGGGUUGGGAUGAGAGCAGGCUGGAGCCGAGGGGCUCGGGCAGGAGCCAGACAGGCUAGAGCGGGCUGCAAGUUCCGGGGCCCGGCUGGAAGCCUGAUGGUUAGAGCCUGGUCCCAGCCAGGAAAUGAAAUUCUACAGGAGGGAGAAGAAUGGCGGGAUUCAGAGGUGAGGAGGCAGAAGAAGAUUCCAAGCUCUGGACCUCUGGGGGCCACUGGGAGAGUUGAAGGUUUGAUCGCGGAUAUGUUGGGUUUUGUGAAGGCGUUGGGGCGCGGGUGCGGGGAGUGUCCUUGGGUGGAGAAGUCACGAAUGUAGGAAUGGAACAAGUUCGGGUCUCCUGACUGGGUCGUGAAGUAGUAUUGUCUUUCCCAAGCUUUCCUGUUGAUGAGCGGCGUGGAGAGAAUGGGGCUUGCUGGAUUUUGUAUUUUCCGCAAGUACUCCCAGGUGAUUCUGGUCUGGUAAACACUGUUGGAGUGGAAGGCCUAUCUGCCCCGGACUCAGACCUUCUCUCUGCCCCCAUCUUUGUGCCCUGAGAUGUUCCAGCAUUCUCGAGCCUAAGUUUCUUCAUCUAUAAGGAGAUAAAAUAACCAGUCCUCGCAGGGCUGUUGUGAGGGCUACAAGAAGGAUAACUGCCUAGCGUGUUGAGACAUGGGUGGUCAGACACUUAAUGCCUGUUUCUCUUCUUUCCCCCAGGAAUUCAUGAACUUUUAAAAUACUUUAUUCUACAGAAGGAGAUCUUCUUAACUAAUUAGAAAAAGAAUCGGAUUUUACUGCUCCAGGAGUUGAGAAUGAAC
rnacentral:lncRNA from 10 species